AGAGUUUGAUCCUGGCUCAGGAUGAACGCUGGCGGCGUGCUUAACACAUGCAAGUCGAACGAAGCAUUUUUAAUGAGACCUUCGGGUGGAUUUAGGAAUGACUGAGUGGCGGACGGGUGAGUAACGCGUGGGUAACCUGCCUCACACAGGGGGACAACAGUUGGAAACGGCUGCUAAUACCGCAUAAGCGCACGGGAUCGCAUGAUCCAGUGUGAAAAACUCCGGUGGUGUGAGAUGGACCCGCGUCUGAUUAGGUAGUUGGUGGGGUAACGGCCCACCAAGCCGACGAUCAGUAGCCGACCUGAGAGGGUGACCGGCCACAUUGGGACUGAGACACGGCCCAAACUCCUACGGGAGGCAGCAGUGGGGAAUAUUGCACAAUGGGCGAAAGCCUGAUGCAGCGACGCCGCGUGAGCGAAGAAGUAUUUCGGUAUGUAAAGCUCUAUCAGCAGGGAAGAAAAUGACGGUACCUGAGUAAGAAGCCCCGGCUAACUACGUGCCAGCAGCCGCGGUAAUACGUAGGGGGCAAGCGUUAUCCGGAUUUACUGGGUGUAAAGGGAGCGUAGACGGAAUAGCAAGUCAGAUGUGAAAGGCAUGGGCUUAACCUGUGGACUGCAUUUGAAACUGCCAUUCUGGAGUGCCGGAGAGGUAAGCGGAAUUCCUAGUGUAGCGGUGAAAUGCGUAGAUAUUAGGAGGAACACCAGUGGCGAAGGCGGCUUACUGGACGGUAACUGACGUUGAGGCUCGAAAGCGUGGGGAGCAAACAGGAUUAGAUACCCUGGUAGUCCACGCGGUAAACGA
rnacentral:rRNA from 1 species